CGAGGACGACGCUGGCGGCGUGCUUAACACAUGCAAGUCGAACGGUGACGGAGAGCUUGCUCUCCUGAUCAGUGGCGAACGGGUGAGUAACACGUGGGCAACCUGCCCCAGACUUCGGGAUAACGCUUCGAAAGAGGUGCUAAUACCGAAUACGAACCUCCCUGGCAUCUGGGAGGUUGGAAAGUUUUUCGGUCUGGGAUGGGCCCGCGGCCUAUCAGCUUGUUGGUGAGGUAACGGCUCACCAAGGCGACGACGGGUAGCCGGCCUGAGAGGGCGACCGGCCACACUGGGACUGAGACACGGCCCAGACUCCUACGGGAGGCAGCAGUGGGGAAUAUUGCGCAAUGGGCGAAAGCCUGACGCAGCAACGCCGCGUGAGGGAUGACGGCCUUCGGGUUGUAAACCUCUUUCAGCAGGGAAGAAGCGAAAGUGACGGUACCUGCAGAAGAAGCACCGGCUAACUACGUG
rnacentral:rRNA from 1 species